ensembl:lncRNA
AGGGAUGUUCUCUGUUUAGUGAGUCCACCAGAUCAGAGGCAGUAGGGGUGACCAGGGAUGUUCUCUGUUUAGUGAGUCCACCAGAUCAGAGGCAGUAGGGGUGACCAGGGAUGUUCUCUGUUUAGUGAGUCCACCAGAUCAGAGGCAGUAGGGAUAACCAGGGAUGUUCUCUGUUUAGUGAGUCCACCAGAUCAGAGGCAGUAGGGGUGACCAGGGAUGUUCUCUGUUUAGUCAGUCUACCAGAUCAGAGGCAGUAGGGAUAACCAGGGAUGUUCUCUGUUUAGUGAGUCCACCAGAUCAGAGGCAGUAGGGAUGACCAGGGAUGUUCUCUGUUUAGUGAGUCCACCAGAUCAGAGGCAGUAGGGAUGACCAGGGAUGUUCUCUGUUUAGUGAGUCCACCAGAUCAGAGGCAGUAGGGGUGACCAGGGAUGUUCUCUGUUUAGUCAGUCUACCAG